GGUAAGAAAGACUAAGG
rnacentral:tRNA from 1 species